rnacentral:rRNA from 1 species
CACGUAGGGUGCGAGCGUUGUCCGGAAUUAUUGGGCGUAAAGAGCUCGUAGGCGGUGUGUCGCGUCGGCCGUGAAAACCUGCAGCUUAACUGUGGGCGUGCGGGCGAUACGGGCAGACUGGAGUACUGCAGGGGAGACUGGAAUUCCUGGUGUAGCGGUGAAAUGCGCAGAUAUCAGGAGGAACACCGGUGGCGAAGGCGGGUCUCUGGGCCGAUACUGACGCUGAGGAGCGAAAGCGUGGGGAGCGAACAGG